rnacentral:rRNA from 1 species
CAGUCGCCACGGUAAUACGUAGGUGGCAAGCGUUGUCCGGAAUUAUUGGGCGUAAAGGGCUCGCAGGCGGUUUCUUAAGUCUGAUGUGAAAGCCCCCGGCUCAACCGGGGAGGGUCAUUGGAAACUGGGAAACUUGAGUGCAGAAGAGGAGAGUGGAAUUCCACGUGUAGCGGCGAAAUGCGUAGAGAUGUGGAGGAACACCAGUGGCGAAGGCGACUCUCUGGUCUGUAACUGACGCUGAGGAGCGAAAGCGUGGGGAGCGAACAGGAUUAGAUACCCCAGUAGUCCCUGUCUCUUAUAC